rnacentral:rRNA from 1 species
UGGGGAAUCUUGCGCAAUGGCCGGAAGGCUGACGCAGCGACGCCGCGUGGAGGAUGACGCCCUUCGGGGUGUAAACUCCUGUUGCCCGGGACGAAGGCCCCUGUUCGGGGGCGUGACGGUACCGGGUGAGGAAGCACCGGCUAACUCUGUGCCAGCAGCCGCGGUAAUACAGAGGGUGCGAGCGUUGUCCGGAAUCACUGGGCGUAAAGGGCGCGUAGGUGGUCGGGCGCGCGUGUGGUGAAAGCCCGGGGCUCAACCCCGGGUCGGCCAUGCGGACGGCCCGACUGGAGCACGGUAGAGGCCGAUGGAAUUCCGGGUGUAGCGGUGGAAUGCGUAGAGAUCCGGAAGAACACCGGGGGCGAAGGCGGUCGGCUGGGCCGUGGCUGACACUGAGGCGCGACAGCGUGGGGAGCAAACAG